UGCGCUAAACCGCUCACUUCACUAUCAACAGUCUUUGCAACAGGUUGCUGUCAGUCUUCUUUCAAUCCCAAUUGUUCGUUUCGACGAGCAACAAAAAAACAUUAUAUUCAAAAUCUAACGCGCGCGAUUCAAAUGUAUAUUCCAUGUUGUUGUCGCUAAUUACUUUGUUUCAUAUUGAUAGACAUUUAUACAUAGUUUGAAAAAAACGAUUUUUAAUAACAGCGGUAGUGACAGAAAAUGCUUGUAGAAAUUUGAAUUAAUUAUUGAAUGUUGUGGUUUCAAGAAAAUAACAAUUUUUUGAAGAGGUUUUAAACGUUUCUUACAUGUCUGUUUUCAUUAACCAAGUCGAUAAAUCAGUGACAUCAUUGCGAUAAAAUCACAAACUUCAGAAGCAGAUCUCAUAUCUCGAAUAAGCGCGAUCUAUCGACCUCGCGUCUAAACUAAAAAGCUACUACUGCGAAGCAACGAAACGAAGUGAAAUACUGCGGAAGACAAGCACGCGGCCGUAAAGAAUAUUUAGAUGGAAUGUCAAAUGGAGAGAAACGACGAGAAGGAAUAUCCAUUACGUAACGAGGAGCCUAAAUGUCCGCGCGCUGACGCUAAUUUACGAUUCUCUCGCUCGGAACUGCGUUCUUGUCGUGAGCUCUGUGCGCGAUCGAUGCUACUGGAGUAUUUCGAUCGCGAUGAAAGAUUUAUAUCGAUCGAUUCCGUACCGGCCACUGUAUAUUUAUAUUUUAUCUAUAAAUUGAUAAUGGCUUUGCGCUGUUUCGCGACGACCAGACAAACCGACCGUAUUAUUUGAUAUAUUUUGUUUUAUUGAACAUAUGCCGCACCCCCACAUUCUCCAUUUAUAAAACUUAAUACUUGAUUUAUUAUCUAAAAUUUAAACGUUGCUUUUUCCAUUCUGAAAAAAAUUUUAUUUUUUAUUACGUAUACAUUCUGGUAACAGAUGAUUUCUUUAUGUCAAUUCAAUUAUUAUAAUUAAUUACUUUCUUACUUUCUAAUGUGUGUUCAAUGCUUGUGUGAUCUUUGUCUUCUCAAAAGUAAAAUCUUAAGAAAUAAGAAAAAAGAAAUAAAAUCUUAAGAAAUAAGAAAAAAGAAAUAAAAUGUAACAAUAAGCCUAUCUAUAUUUAUAAAAUCACUAUUUCUUUAUAUUAUUAAUAAAUCUUGUUAUAUCAGGCAAAACUGUUAAAUGCACAAGCGCAUAGAAAUGAAAUUUCUGCAUUGCAACAGGUACACAAAUGCCAGACUCAUAUUAAGAUCCUAAUCCAUUCAAACCGCUAUGUAUUAAGAGCUUAAAUCUGCAUACAUCGCGAAUGUCAGGCCGAAUGAAAAUUAUGCCGAGAUAUGGCGUGUGUUAAGUUGGCACCUCAACAUUAAAUUUUUGUAGUUCUGAUUAGAGUUCCCGUUUUAUUUUGAAGAGACUAAGAAUUCUCGAUAGUUUAUAUAAAGAGUUCUGGUGAUUUACUGCCUCAAAAUUAAAAUUAAAAAAUGGGGAGCCAACUUCUAAUCGAAAAUUGUGAUGGCAUAGUUCUGAGCAAUUAAAUAGUUUCGUUUUGCGAUUAUCUAGAGUUCUUGAUACAUAAAACAAUUUUUUGAUUAUCCCAAAAAAUCUUAAAAAAUUUUGAAAAAUUAAUUUUUAGAUAU